AUGGGCCUUCUACUAGACUUGAAGUCCCUUUUCUUCCAAAUUUAUGAAAUGGAAGAAUUUCCCCAACUUUCUUUGAAACUUUCUAACAGUAAUUUUUUUUUUUUAGGAGUUGUCUUCUUUUUGGUAGCUUCUCAUAUUUGCUUUAAAAGUGUAACAUCUAUUCCAGUCUCAAAUGUACAUUUUUAUUCUCAUUCUAUAACUUCACCUGCUCCAGGUUUAGUCUGUCUCUUAGUCCUCAUCAUGCUGAUACUCUUCUAUCAUCUGUGAUGAUCUUCAGCUGUCUGUUCACAUUUGAGAAUGAUACUGUUUGAUUCUCCUAGGUAGACAGUAGGACUUUGGUUAUUCUCAGUAUCUAGGUAGACGGUAGGACUUUGGUUAUUCUCACUAUAGAUCUGUUCCGCUGAAUGAAGUGAUUUACUGGGAUUUCAGUGUGCCUGGGAAGGGCUGGAGAGAUGAUGAGAGUCUCCAAAUUCCAGGAAAGGUUUCAACUUAAGAUACCAACUCUCAUUCUAGUUGCUGUAGUUCUCCGCAAGUUCACUGAAUUUUUUCAUAGUUUUAAUGACAACAUUCUUAUUUAAAACAUUACAGAUAAUGAUAAAUCUACCCUCUUGACCAGAAUGUCCAAUUCCAGGUCCCUCCGCAAAACACAAAUUGGAUAUGUCUGUUCAGGACUUAUUUCUGUGUAUUUGCAGUUAUAGAAAUGUAUUAGAAAUGUAUUUUAAAUAUAUAGUCUCUUAUUAAUCUGCAAAUUUUUAAUCAGUGCCUUUUAGUCAAAUCCUUAUAUUACCAGUCCAUCCUUUUAAACUAGUGCCAGUAUUUCUGUAUUGAUGGAAAUUUAAAUAGCUCUCAGUUUCAUGUACUAACCAUACUGCCCUCUGAAGGGAUUAGUUAAUGUUUUAACAACUUCAUUGCUUCCAAAGUGGUACUGAUAAGAGUAGUUAUUUCUCUAUACAACUGCCAGGUUUUAAAAUUAGAUUAUUUAAAUUUGCAUCUCUUACUACUAGCAAGGCUAGCGGGGACUCAGUGUCAGCGGUCUGCAUUUCUUCUGACUUAUCCAUUAUUAUCCUUUGUUCAUUUUAUUCUCCUUGGUUGUCCUUUACCUACUUAUAGGUAUUCUUACAUCCUUCCUUUAGUAUUUUAUUACAGCUUUUCCCCAUUCUGUUUCUUUUGUCUUUUUAAAAGCAUGCUGCAGUCCAUGGGAUUGCAAAGAGUUGGACAAGACUUAGUGACCGAACAACUUUUGAUACAAUCAAGUUGUUCAUUAAUCUUUACUUUGUGGCUUUCGUUUUUGUCUAGUUUAGGAAGAUGUAUCCAACAGCAAAGUCAUAGGCAUAUCCUAUUAUGUUUUCUCCCAAUACUUUAACAUUUAGGAUUUUAUUCACCUAGAACUAAUCUUUCUGUAUUGAUGGAAAUUUAAAUAGCUCUCAGUUUCAUGUACUAACCAUACUGCCCUCUGAAGGGAUUAGUUAAUGUUUUAACAACUUCAUUGCUUCCAAAGUGGUACUGAUAAGAGUAGUUAUUUCUCUAUACAACUGCCAGGUUUUUAAAAUUAGAUUAUUUAAAUUUGCAUCUCUUACUACUAGCAAGGCUAAGCGGGGACUCAGUGUCAGCGGUCUGCAUUUCUUCUGACUUAUCCAUUAUUAUCCUUUGUUCAUUUUUAUUCUCCCUUGGUUGUCCUUUACCUACUUAUAGGUAUUCUUACAUCCUUCCUUUAGUAUUUUAUUACAGCUUUUCCCCAUUCUGUUUCUUUUGUCUUUUUAAAAGCAUGCUGCAGUCCAUGGGAUUGCAAAGAGUUGGACAAGACUUAGUGACCGAACAACUUUUGAUACAAUCAAGUUGUUCAUUAAUCUUUACUUUGUGGCUUUCGUUUUUGUCUAGUUUAGGAAGAUGUAUCCAACAGCAAAGUCAUAGGCAUAUCCUAUUAUGUUUUCUCCCAAUACUUUAACAUUUAGGAUUUUAUUCACCUAGAACUAAUCUUUCUGAAUGGUGUGAAAGACGGAUCCAAUUUACUUUACUUACAGACGAGUGCAAUGGGAAAGCUUUGGUAGGGAUACUAACAUAACUUUCACAUAAAAAAUCAUAUAAACUGUCUUGUCAUUGUUACCUCCAGCCUCUACACAAGCUAACUUAGAGCAUGAGCUUCUCUAGGGACCUUUGGACAGACUUGACUUGCCAUUAGUGAAAUCCAUCAGGCAGACAUUUCAAGUCACAGCUGUUUCUGCUACAUUUCAUGAAUAAGCACUUUUUUCCCUUUUGUUUUUAACAAAAUUUGAUUCUUUUCUGAUACCUUUUAUCUGUUAUAGGAUAUGGUAGGGUAAACUCGUGUUUAAUUGCAAAAGAAAGCCUUGAAAAUUCUGAUAUUGACAAGUCACCUUUACAUCAGUACACAGAAGUACCUCCUCUGCUGUGCUUCUGCAGUGCAAAUUUUAUCAAUCCGGUAUUGAAAGAUGGUACUUCACUUGUUUAGCUUGUAUUCUGAUCCUUUUGAGAGUUGGUACUUAGCAUUUUCAUCAGUUAUCUCUUUACACUCCUUACCCAUGGGGAAGAGGUGUCAUUUUCUAAAUGAUUUGGAGGAGUACUUAUAUGUUAAGGAUAUGAAUCUCAUAGGUUAAACAUAUUUUACUAAUGUUUUCAAAUUCUAAUGUUUAAAAACCUUUUGUACUAUCUUUGACUAUAUAAAAGCUCAUUAACGUUUUUAUAUAGUCAAGAAUCCAUGUGUGUGGUUUCUGGAUCUCAUGUUGUAUUUAGGGAGAUUGUUUUCCAUGACGAUGUAUGGUAUCCUCUAAUGACUCUGUUUUGCAUUUGGAUAAAAGAAUGAGACAGUUGUUUUGUACAGAAAUAGCUGAGCAGAACCUCAUGCACCAAUACUGUUAAGCUACUGCAGUGAGCUUUCACCUUUAUUACAUGUUUCCUUUAUGUGUAUGUCUGCUGUGUGUUUGUGUUGCUAAACACGAUGUUUCAGGCCUUGAAUUCUUAGGAUUCUGUUAGGUACAAAGAAUCAAUAGAUUAAUUUGGGGCUUACUAACAUCUGUAUAAUACUGAAUCUUCCCCUACAGAAGGAUAAAAUGUCUGUUCUUCUCAUCCUCCAUUAAACUUUACUCAUUUUCUUUGUACUUAUAGUCACAUGAGAAUUGGUUCCAGCACUGAUUGCACGAAGCCUUCAGGAGUCAGGAAGUAAUAAAGUGUAAAACAAGUCAGAUGUAAGACAACAGGCAGUAGUUUGAACUGUGGAAAAGUGGAAAACAAAUGCCCAUCUAAAGGUACUUAUUUUAAAUUUCACACAAAUCAAACAUGUUUAUGAGUUUUGACUUAUAGUUUUGAUUUCUUUUCCCUCUGGUCUUGGAAUUACAGCUUAGAAACUAACACCUUUUCUAUUUAAAUGACAUGGAUUUAACAUGAUUCAUCUACCUGGAAUUAGGAACGUGAGUAAAAUUUUGUUUUCUAAUCUUCUUUGGUUAUUGAUCUUUUAAAGUUUUCUGUCUUUUGAGGACUAUAUUGCCUUUGUCUAAAUGUAAAUGACGAAUACAUCUCAGUAAAUUUUACUUAUUACAAUUGAUGUUUAACACCUGGUUUCUUAAAAGUGUUGAAUAUAUAAUGAAGUUAAUUUUUCUUAUCAACAAAAUCAUAUUUCCUUGUUUGUACUGAAACAGAAGCAACCAUCUUAACUCUAUCAUCAUGAACUCCAGCAUUAACUCUACUGUGUUGGAUGCCCUUUCCACUCAGCUUCAGAACAAGGGCUGCUCUUUCUACUCAAAAGUCUUUAGUCUCCUGGGUCUUGAGCUGUUUUGUUAUUUCACCAAUAAUCACUGCUAAGAUGAUCAGGUCUUCUUUGUAUACAGUUAUCUUUUUAUUUUACAUUAAUGUUUAUUGAUUAUGCUAGGCACUGUGCUGAGCAAUUUACAUGCAUUAUCUCAUUUAAUCCUCCCAUUAACUUUUGAGGUAGUACCAUUAUUAUUUCUGUAAUAGAAAUAAAAAGACAAGAUGCUUACAAGGGACAAAAUGUUUCUCCACAACUAGAGGGCUAGAAAAUGGAACAGUAAGAACUGGAACCCUGAUCUAGUUGUUGCUGCAAUAUGAAUUCUGAAUUUUGAUAAGUAGCCCAGGAAUGAGAUGGUCACAUGAAAUGGGACUCUGAAAUGUAAAGUGGGACAAGGUACGGGGGGCAGGGGUCUUUUAGACUAUUUUGAGCAAUGUGCACCUUGCCCUAAGCCCUAUGGGAUGCCAGUGAAGGGUUUUAAUGAAGAAGUGAUAUGGUCAGACUCUUGAAAUACAAGUUUGACUGCAAUAUGGAUUACUAACAGGAAAUGGUAAAUACAGGGGGGUGGGUUAGAAAGCCCUUCCCAUCGUCUGUGUCAAAUAGAUUAUUGUGUAUUGGACAAACAUUAAUAGAAUGGAAAUGGAUUAAUG
rnacentral:lncRNA from 1 species